rnacentral:rRNA from 1 species
AACGAACGCUGGCGGCAGGCUUAACACUUGCAAGUCGAACGCAUCCUUCGGGGUGAGUGGCAGACGGGUGAGUAACGCGUGGGAACGUGCCCUUCAGUUCGGGAUAACCCAGGGAAACUUGGGCUAAUACCGGAUACGUGCGAGAGCAGAAAGAUUUAUCGCUGAAGGAUCGGCCCGCGUCUGAUUAGCUAGUUGGUGGGGUAAUGGCCCACCAAGGCGACGAUCAGUAGCUGGUCUGAGAGGAUGAUCAGUCACAUUGGGACUGAGACACGGCCCAAACUCCUACGGGAGGCAGCAGUGGGGAAUAUUGGACAAUGGGCGCAAGCCUGAUCCAGCCAUGCCGCGUGAGUGAUGAAGGCCUUAGGGUUGUAAAGCUCUUUCGUCCGGGACGAUAAUGACGGUACCGGAAGAAGAAGCCCCGGCUAACUUCGUGCCAGCAGCCGCCGUAA